AUAAUCAGGAAACUUCAGAAAGCUGCCAAUGAAGAACAGAAUCCACAACAGCCUGAGAACCGGGCACCUGAAGAGGUGAACUACGCAGCUGUGGCUUUCCGUCCAAAAACAAGAAGAACAAGAGAAGUUGAGCCCAAUGUUGUGUAUGCUUCUACUAGAUAGACCCAGGAUUACACCAGAUAAGCGGUUCCGACUAAAACUGAUGCUUUAUCAUAUUAAUCUGCAGAUGGUGGACAGGAGGACUGACCAUCACUGUCAAAAUAAGGACAAAAAUGCAACCUUCUUCCUAGUGCCCAGUUUGAAUUUGAAUCUCUUUUAAAGAUGUAAUUAGUGCACAUCAACAUGGAGAGAAGAUUUUGUAAAUAGCAGUGUGUCUAUUCUGGUAUAGGGAAUACAAUUCAAGAGAUACAGCAGCAAUCUAGUAUUACAUUUGACUGAAAUAUGAAUUACUCUUUCUUCUUUUCCUUCACUACUUGUUUCUGUUACACUCUGACACUGUGUUUCACGGUAGUUCCACUUCCCCUUGUUCACUUCCCCUCAGAUAGUACAAAGCAGCAUAAGACGCAGGGAGGCUGUUUCUGUUGAUGCCAUGCACCUCAUUGGAGAGUACUGCUUGCUGCAUUACUUGUAAGAAAGGUGCUAUAAUAUUACGUGACCCGGUGUUGGCUGUAUUUGGAGUACUCUGUAGCAAAAUUCAGAACCCUUCUAGCGCCCAUGUUAAUUCUAUUAAUCUGGAAACAGACACCACCUCCUCCCACUUCCAGCAUGUUGAUCAAAGACGUCAUGCAGCACCUAAAACUGGGAUACUCAGAUAUACAUCGUGUGGUUCCGUUGAAACGUUUUAUAGAACUUGGCAAUGCACAGCCCCGUGGCUCCUACCUUAACUCUUAGCUCUGAUAACUACCUGAGGUGUGUUGUCAAUAAGUAUUUAGAGCAGGUUUGUACUCUGAUUAUUAUUUUCUAAUCUGAUUAUCUACCAUACAGGACUUAUUGUGUUUGUGUCUGUGUAAGUAAAUGUUUUGUAAAACUAUUUCUGUAAUAUUAUA